GAACGCACAUUGCGCCCCUUGGUAUUCCAUGGGGCAUGCCUGUUCGAGCGUCAUUUGUACCUUCAAGCUCUGCUUGGUGUUGGGUGUUUGUCCCGCUUUUUGCGUGGACUCGCCUCAAAGCAAUUGGCAGCCGGCGUACUAGCCUGGGAGCGCAGCACAUUUUGCGCAUCUCGACUGGAGCGCUUGCGUCCAUUAAGCCUACACUUUUGCUCUUGACCUCGGAUCAGGUAGGGAUACCCGCUGAACUUAAG
rnacentral:misc_RNA from 1 species